rnacentral:rRNA from 1 species
AUUGAACGCUGGCGGCAUGCCUUACACAUGCAAGUCGAACGGUAACAGGUCUUCGGAUGCUGACGAGUGGCGAACGGGUGAGUAAUAUAUCGGAACGUGCCCAGUUGUGGGGGAUAACUACUCGAAAGAGUGGCUAAUACCGCAUACGACCUGAGGGUGAAAGCGGGGGAUCGCAAGACCUCGCGCAAUUGGAGCGGCCGAUAUCAGAUUAGGUAGUUGGUGGGGUAAAGGCUCACCAAGCCAACGAUCUGUAGCUGGUCUGAGAGGACGACCAGGCACACUGGGACUGAGACACGGCCCAGACUCCUAUGGGAGGCAGCAGUGGGGAAUUUUGGACAAUGGACGCAAGUCUGAUCCAGCCAUGCCGCGUGCGGGAAGAAGGCCUUCGGGUUGUAAACCGCUUUUGUCAGGGAAGAAAAGGGCGACUCUAAUACAGUUGCCUCAUGACGGUACCUGAAGAAUAAGCACCGGCUAACUACGUGCCAGCCGCCGCGGUAAUAC